AGCAACUCGAAGAAGUUAAAUCGCUGAAACGAAUGAUUUUGAUUUCUUUGUUUUUUUUUUCGCAAUUAUUUAGUUAAAGCAUGAAAUUAAAUAAUUCAAAUAAAGCAAAAAAAACCUUUAUCCUGUUUCGCUAUAUAUAUAUAUAUACCACACUGUUUACAUUACAUAUUCUACAUGAUAUUUUAAUCAAAAUGUGAUCAUAGAAAAUAAAGCUUACUUAUUAUAAUAGAGCAAAUAUAUGUCGCUAUAAAUUUUCAUCCAAAGCUCGCAAGCAUUUGAAAUUCUCUCUCGCAUCCUUUCUCGCAUCUUUUAUAAUCGCUAAUCCUUAAUUAAUUGGUUCAGUCUUCUACAAGGCGUUAAGAUACAGUCGUUAAUCGCAGUUAGUUCAUUACACGAAAAUUUUACCAAAUUUAAUAAUUGUGUUGCUCAAUCUUUAAUACAAGCUGCAUACAAGCGAUACAUAUACAAUGCUUGGAACGAUAUCAGAAAUAUAACCUUCAAUCUAACAAAUUACGGGAAAGCGGAAAGAUAAAGAGAGGAUUCGUUUAAAACGUAGUAAAACAUACAUUGCGCUCGACGGUUGUGUUGAAUCGAAGCUCGAUCGAUGGGAUGUGCGUGCAACGGAUCGAAUAGAAAGUAUAUUGAAAAAGAGAGAAAAGAAAGAGAAGAAAUCAUUUUCUUUUCUUUUUUUUUUUUUUUUUUGCGGAAAGAAUUUUUGCAUUUUAAGAAAGAAGAGGGGGAAAGAGAGAAUAGAGAAUAAUCGAGAAAAAGCUUUUCCCCUUCCUUGCUUUUUUUCUAAAUUCUAAAAAAAAAAAAAACACGUGAGAUUAAAACUCGCGAUAGGAAUAUUCAGUAAAUUCUCAUGGGCGUGAUAAAAGAUAAUUUAGCCUGUGACCUAUGUCGCAGGUCAUAAAGAACCGUGUUAAUUAAAUUUAAACGAGCAAAUCAUCUCUACAAAUUGUGAAACAGGCAAUUUAAUCCGUAUCUUCCUUUUUUAGUAUUCUUUUUUCUUUUUUUUAAUACGUUUUAUAAAAUAAUUAUGUCGUAAUGUCGUCCGUCUACGAUAUCGAACAUUAGCAUGCAAAAUAGCAAUUCUUAAAGCGGUGCCCAUCGUGAAAUAUAAUUAUUUCGUUAUACAAUUAAAGACACUUAUAGACUUAAUACAAAGUAUAUAUAAUAUAUAUAUAUAUUAAUAGGAUAGAGAUAAUAAUAAACGUUCUUCUUGAAAUCGGUAAAUAUCAUUCUCGGUUGGAUAUUUUCAUCCAAUUCUGCAGCUUCUCAGUUACGCAAUAUAUAAGAGGCAGUAAAAUCUUUCGUUACAUGGUAUACCGUUAAAAGAGAAAUUCCUCCAAUAGAAAAUUGUAUCUAUUAAAUGACGUAACGAUAGUAACGAACUGGUCUAAAUUGAUAUUGAUUGAAUAUAAUAAUAAUAAUAAUAAUAAUAAUAACAACAAGUAAUACUGUAUGAUAUACCCGAGCUACAGUUACGGAUUUCACGAAGAUCGAUGUGAAUGUUUUGUGUUAAAAAGUGUUGUACGUCUUUAAAGAUGGAUGAAUAAGAAUUAAUUCAUUCCAUUCGAUGAACGUGGAUAAUUGUUAGUAGUAAGUAUGAAUUAAAAAAAAAAAGAGAGAGAGAGAGAGAGACAGAAAGAGAGAGAGAGAAAACGAUAUAUAAUGGAUAGAUGACACAAUCGGAAUUAAUAAGAUAAGAAUUGCUCUUUAAUGUGAAACAUACAUCAAUAGAUGGUAACAUAGCUGGUAAAAAACAGACUACAAGUCGUCGAUCGAAAUUCGAUAAAAAUUGUGCCCUGUAUAUAAUAUUAAUUGACCCGAAAUCAGAUUGUUAAAUAUCCGCCCGUUAUUUUUUUUUUUAAUAUCUCUAGCAAUCAUUGGAAGAAAAAAAAAAAAAAAAAAGAAUCAAAUCCCGCGUAAACGUAAUUGUUUAGAACGAACGAAUUACAAUUAUAAUACACACAGAUAUAGCGGAGGAUGUUCGUUUAGCUCGGCGUUUGUUAUUAUAUAGUAUAUCGAAGAAUUAAUCGGAGUUUAAAAAAAUGAAAAUCAGUCGAAUAAUCAUCGUACAUGUGUGUAGCUCGUACAUGUCAACAGAUCUCGCAAAUACUCGAAAUCAAUUUUGAAACCUUAUUGUCUGUCUGGCGUAUCGUAAUGCGCGUGACUUUAUAUUAAAUAUUUUUAUCAGGGGAGAAAUUUCUUUUCCUCUAUUGUCCUACUAAAUGUUUCUAAAGCUGACUUACGUAGCCAAAAAUGUUUCAUUAUGGAUUAUUGACUGGAUUUCUAAAGAUACUCUCGAUCGUACGUGCACUCUUUUAUUUUAUUUCUUUAUUUUUUUACUUCUUUCCGUUCAAUCGAUAAUUUAAAAAUCGAUCAAUUACAGCGCAAUACUCGAAUUCGCGAAUUUCAAACAAUUUGGACGGACGAUCUUUUUUUCCGUUUCUUCUCUUUUUUCAAUAGUUCUUUUUUUUCCCCCUUCUUUUCUUUUUUCUUUUCUUUUCUAUUAAUUAAUUAACUCGAAUGCACGCUCGAUCGUAUCUACCGGAAAGAAAAGUGAAAAUACAACGAUAGAUGGGAGAAUUGAUUGCCGUCGUUUGCAACGAAGCUAUUAGUAAUAUCAACACAAUUGUGCUUAUAAAUCGUCUUAGACUUAAAUCUUUUAGUAAAGAUAAAGAAAUAACUAAUAUACAUCUAAUUUCGUGCGAGCAAUUAUACGUAUCCUACAAAAUAGCAUCGCAACAACCUUCGUUAUCGUACACCCUCUACGUAUGCAUAAGCAAGAAUCUCUACGAGUAAUCGUUACAUACGUAUACGUAUUAGGUAGAAAAACUAGCGAUAUAGAUACAAACAGCUGCCCCUCACAACAAAGAUCCCUAAAAAAACGUUAUCAAAAUUCAUAAUUACCCGACCUACCCUCGAUAAUACAAAAUAAUAAGUAACGCUCGAAUGAAUCUGUAGCAUGCACUAUCUACUUAGGGAGGGAAAAGAACAAAAAGAAAAAAAAACCUUAUAUAUGUAUAUACGCGUCAAUGUGAAAUAAUGGUAAACACGUAGUGCGAACGACGGCAAGCGAAGAUAUUCUCUAUAUUCGAAACGAUCUAAACCGAUCUACACGAUUACAUACAUCCUCCCAUCCCUAAGCUACACGAUCGAAAUACAGAUUAUGAAGCUGCAGUUUGAUUGAAAAACACACGGUUGUCGCGCGUGUGUAUACGUGUAUAUUUAGUGUGUGUGUGUUGGUGUGCCUGUUUUGCCAUUUUUUAAAUACAGGGUUAGGUAGGAUAGGUAGUAUACUUCUGGUGUGGCUGUUUAAUUAUAAGUAGGUAGGGCCGGGCAGGUUGUCACAGUCUCUGGUCGGGUAGGCGCGUUUUCGCGUGACAAUCUGUUUCAGGGAAUAAAAUUUGAGAAAUCGAGAGCGAAUUUGAGACGAAUGGACGAUUGUGCCAUUCGUCUCUAACUUUGCUCAUCGAUUUUUCGAAUUUCGCGGUCGCGGUCGUGAUUUGCUUUCGAAACGAACGUUGCGCUCGAGAUUCUGCGCGUGUACGGAGAACGAUCAUUGCGAUCGUUCAUGUGCACUUAGUUUCCGCGAUUUAGUCGUCUUUUUCUUUUUUUUUUUCUCGGUUUGCGAUUAGUGAAUCUCGAGCCUAGAUUUAAGUUUCAGCGGGCAUUGCGCCCGAAGGAGGAAGACCGAAGAGGCCCGACAAACUGUCAUGAAGAGGGCUGCAACGAAUGGCUUCUCAUUUUUUGGUUCUUGUUUGGAUCCGAAGAAUGGGAAGUCAUUGUUAUUACUUUGUCACUGUGCUCGUUUUAAUAUUAUGUAGUAUAUGUUGUUGUAUCGUCCGGCCAAUUUGCAUGCUGGCCCAUCGUUCAUCCAAUCAUCAUGGGCAUAUCGCGAUUUUUGCAUUAGUGUUGCGAUAAAAUGAUAAUCGUGUUUGCUAUAAUGUUGCCUUAUAAAAGAUAUCGCGAUUGUAUGUUUAAAUAUUUUGAUUAUAUUUAAUCUUGAAUUGUAAAAAUUUUAUUUUUCUUUUAAUUUUUUAAUAAUCUUAUUUUAUUGAUAUCAAUAUGUUUGAAAUAGCUUUUCAUUCAUUCAUCAUAAAUUUAUAUUAAAUUUAUUCUAUGAAUUAGUGUUGCGAUAUUGUUGCAUCGCGGUUUUUUUUAAUUAGUGUUGCGUUAAUAAAUUGUCGCGUCUUUCAUAGUAGUGUUGCGUUGAAAGAAUGCCCAAAGUCUUCCACUGAAAUUGUGGAAGUAUGCUGCUGGACCACGCGCAGAAGAAGAAUUGCAGAAUUGUGGUUUUAUCACAGCAGCCUCCAAUAUGGUUGCAAUUUCGAUAUUAAUAUAAUUCAUUAUA
rnacentral:lncRNA from 1 species